rnacentral:rRNA from 1 species
CAGCCGCCGCGGGAAUACGGAGGGUGCAAGCGUUAUCCGGAUUUAUUGGGUUUAAAGGGUCCGUAGGCGGAUCUGUAAGUCAGAGGUGAAAUCUCACAGCUUAACUGUGAAACUGCCAUUGAUACUGCAGGUCUUGAGUAAAUUUGAAGUGGCUGGAAUAAGUAGUGUAGCGGUGAAAUGCAUAGAUAUUACUUAGAACACCAAUUGCGAAGGCAGGUCACUAAGAUUUAACUGACGCUGAUGGACGAAAGCGUGGGGAGCGAACAGGAUUAGAGACCCCUGUAGUCCCUGUCUCUUAUAU